rnacentral:rRNA from 1 species
GACGAACGCUGGCGGCGUGCUUAACACAUGCAAGUCGAACGGUGAAGGGAUCAGCUUGCUGGUUCUGGAUGAGUGGCGAACGGGUGAGUAACACGUGAGUAACCUGCCCCCUUCUUCUGGAUAACCGCAUGAAAGUGUGGCUAAUACGGGAUAUUCUGGGUCUGUCGCAUGAUGGGUCUGGGAAAGAUAUUGUUUCGGUGGGGGAUGGGCUCGCGGCCUAUCAGCUUGUUGGUGGGGUGAUGGCCUACCAAGGCGGUGACGGGUAGCCGGCCUGAGAGGGGGGGCGGUCACACUGGGACUGAGACACGGCGCAGACUCCUACGGGAGGCAGCAGUGGGGAAUAUUGCAGAAUGGGCGCAAGCCUGAUGCAGCGACGCCGCGUGAGGGAUGGAGGCCUGCGGGUUGUAAGCCUCUUGCGCCAGUGAAGCAGGCCUGCUCCAUGUGGGUGGGUUGACGGUAGCUGGAAAAGAAGCGCCGGCUAACUACGUG